UACGUAGGGUGCAGGCGUUAAUCGGAAUUACUGGGCGUAAAGCGUGCGCAGGCGGUCUUUUAAGUCAGAUGUGAAAUCCCCGGGCUUAACCUGGGAACUGCGUUUGAAGCUGAAAGGCUAGAGUGUGGCAGAGGGGGGGUGGAAUUCCACGUGUAGCAGUGAAAUGCGUAGAUAAUCAGGAGGAACACCGGUGGCGAAGGCGGCUAUCUGGACAGAAACUGACGCUGAGGCGCGAAAGCUAGGGGCGCAAACAGG
rnacentral:rRNA from 1 species